rnacentral:rRNA from 1 species
CGGCGAGUGAAGCGGCAACAGCUCAAAUUUGAAAUCUGGCUCCUUCGGGGUCCGAGUUGUAAUUUGUAGAGGGUGCUUCGGUGGAAGCCCCGGCCCAAGUCCCUUGGAACAGGACGUCAGAGAGGGUGAGAACCCCGUGUCCGGCCGGUGGCGCUCCCCGCGUGAAGCCCCUUCGACGAGUCGAGUUGUUUGGGAAUGCAGCUCUAAAUUGGUGGUAAAUUCCAUCUAAAGCUAAAUACCGGCCAGAGACCGAUAGCGCACAAGUAGAGUGAUCGAAAGAUGAAAAGCACUUUGAAAAGAGAGUCAAAAAGUACGUGAAAUUGUUGAAAGGGAAGCGCUUGCGGCCAGACUUGCCCGCGGAUGUUCAGCCCGUCUUCUGGCGGGUGCACUCUUCCGCGGUCAGGCCAGCAUCGGUUUGGGCGGCCGGACAAAGGCUCGGGGAACGUGGCCCCCUUCGGGGGGUGUUAUAGCCCCGGGUGCAAUGCGGCCAGCCUGGACCGAGGACCGCGCUCUGCUAGGAUGCUGGCGUAAUGGCCGUAAGCGGCCCGUCUUGAAACACGGACCAAGGAGUCUAACAUCUAUGCGAGUGUUUGGGUGUCAAACCCGUGCGCGUAAUGAAAGUGAACGGAGGUGGGAACCUUAGGGUGCACCAUCGACCGAUCCUGAUGUCUUCGGAAGGAUUUGAGUAAGAGCAUAGCUGUUGGGACCCGAAAGAUGGUGAACUAUGCCUAGAUAGGGUGAAGCCAGAGGAAACUCUGGUGGAGGCUCGCAGCGGUUCUGACGUGCAAAUCGAUCGUCAAAUCUGGGUAUAGGGGCGAAAGACUAAUCGAACCAUUUAGUAGCUGGUUCCUGCCGA